CGUGGCCUCUGAGCUUCCCCACAAAGCCACGUUGCCAUCGGGAGGCAAGUCUCAAAUGCUGCUGACAGGCGGUUUAGAACUGGAGCUGGAGCUCAGCCAUGAUCUCACGCCCUGCACAACCACACGUGAUCUCAGCUCCAGUUUCCUGAUCUCUGUGGAUACUCCUGGAUGCUCAGACACUCAGCCGUUUGGGGACCAGGGGAAGAAGCAGAGCUGGGAGCUUCCAGGCCCUCAGGCAAUAUUUAAAGAGAGACAUUCCCGAAUAUGCCAGAAAUAUAGAAGUGCCUCCAAGAAGUCUUGUGAGGCCUCUGUGGCCUCGAAAACGCCAGAAUGAUUUAUGUAGAUGAGCACACGCAUGGCUGUGCUGGACCUUUGCCUCCUUUCCCUUCUCUUCUCGUUGCCUGGGAGGCUGGCCUUCAGUGGACCACACCUGCAGCAGAUCUUCUGUGCCCGCCAAUUCCAGAAGCAGUCUUGUUGGAUUAAAAGGCAUGAAUAGUUGAGUUCUUGAUCCACGUGUCAAACUGUGGAGCUUCAUUUUGAGCUGGCUGCCAUGUUGUAAGGAAGCCUCCACACACACCCUCCAGGGCAACUUCCAGCCAACAGCUAGUAACUAUCUGAAGCUCUCAGUCCAAUGUCCCGUGAGGAGCGGAAUCCUGCUGCAACCACGGAGUGAGCUUGGAAAUGGAUUUCUUCCCAGUCGAGCCUUCAGAUGACUGCAGCCCCCUCAGCACCUUGAUUGCACCUGUGAGACAUCUUGAGCCAGAGGACUCAGAAAAAUUAAUGACCUUGGCCCUACUUGCCCAGCUUCUCAUGCCAACCCUGGCAUUAUAGUGAAGUCCCACCCAGCCAAAGCUGAGAGGGAGGAUGGAGGAAGGAACA